rnacentral:piRNA from 1 species
AGAGAAAGCUGGAGCAAGCGACAU